GGGAUAGCCCAGGGAAACCUGGAUUAAUACCGGAUGAGACGGGACCCGCGAAGGCGGGACCCGGGAAAGGCGCUGCGGCGCCGGCCGGGGGAUGAGUCUGCGUCCCAUUAGCUAGACGCGGGGUAACGGCCCACCGUGGCGACGAUGGGUAGCCGGCCUGAGAGGGUGGACGGCCACAUUGGAACUGAGACACGGUCCAGACUCCUACGGGAGGCAGCAGCUAAGAAUCUUCCGCAAUGGGCGAAAGCCUGACGGGAAGCGACGCCGCGUGAACGGAGAAGGCCGUGAGGUUGUAAAGUUCUUUUCGGGAGGGGAACAACCGUGGCAGGGAAUGGCCGCGGGAUGACGUAGAAUCCCGGAAUAACGCCCCGGCUAACUACGUGCCAGCCGCCGC
rnacentral:rRNA from 1 species